UACGUAGGUGACCAGCGUUGUCCGGAUUUACUGGGCGUAAAGAGCGCGCAGGCGGUCGUUCAAGUCGAGUGUGAAAGCCCCCGGCUCAACUGGGGAGGGUCACUCGAUACUGAUCGACUCGAAGGUGGGAGAGGGUAGUGGAAUUCCCGGUGUAGUGGUGAAAUGCGUAGAUAUCGGGAGGAACACCAGUGGCGAAGGCGACUACCUGGCCCAUUUCUUGACGCUGAGGCGCGAAAGCUAGGGGAGCAAACGGG
rnacentral:rRNA from 1 species